rnacentral:rRNA from 1 species
AUGAAUAAUGGCAUUACAAGUGAACUUGGCACAAUUACACAUGUCCUGAACCUCAUAGAAUCUGACACUAGCAAGUCUUCAUUGGCAUGCAAUUCUAGUCCUCCUAUCUUUAAUUCAUGGCUGUUGGACUACAUGCAGGACAACGAGUUCAUCUGCGGCAGCUAUCGCUGUGAGCAGUCCGUCCGCGACGCGCUCCGCAACGUCUUCACCGGGCACAAUGAGAUCCUCAAUGUCUGGAAGGAUAAAGGCAAGCCUCAAAACGUGUCGCUAGCGAACGAGCCACCAAUUCUGCUGGAUGACGUGUCCCAAUUAGAAAUCGUGCGAGACCUGGACGCCUCUCCAUCCACGGCCACAGCAUCUCUUGCGGACUUGUAUACGCAAACCACCACACGCCAUGGGUGGAGAAGGAGCGCCCUCUGCUCGCCCGCGUCGCCGUCCCUGAAGGACAAGCCGCUUUCCUCGGCGACGGCAAGGCCCAGGCCGCCAAGUUUUGAUAUCGCGCUGACCGACUCAGAUGCAAGGCAAAGGAGAGGGCAAGUAGAGGAUCGGGGAUUGGGGCUGAUAUGGUUUAUGCGGAUGCAAGGGGAAGAGGAGGAGUCCGACCCGUUCUGGCUUUCGAGCUUGUUUUUUAGGGGAUCCUGCUCUUAUUAUUGCUUAUAUUACGGGUGGAGGAGGCCCAGCCGAAGCCAAUUAGAUGUCGUGGUCCAGAGUGAUGUGCCAAUGGAAAUCAUGGCUCUUCACAAGCUUCUGCCGGUCUCCGUGCAACCGCCCUGUAGAGCUACUCCACCGCGGCCGCGCACUCCAACGGCGGCGCAGCGAGGGCAAAGGCCAAGCCGGUUGGCUACCUUGGCUGCCGGGAUGAUCGGGCUAUCGUUGGCGCUGGGGCUGCACACGGCGCGCCAGCAGCUUGCAAAACAUCCGCCUCGACAAGCUCGAGUUGAGAUCAAGGGCUCGUGGCCUAGAUGGUCGCCCACAUCCGGGACGAUCACUCUCUCGCCGGAUCUUGGUAUGGUGGCGGCGAUGGAUCCAUGGAGGUUGGAUUUUUCUGCGGGGUGGGAGAUGAGAGAAGAACAUGAGGCGGGAGCACCAAUCGAUAAUCGUGAGGCGAUAGCGAGAGCAUCGAUAAUACAGAUGAUUAGGACCCCACCCAACCCUGCAUCCCCCUCUACACUUAACCUCAAUCACGACACGGCAGCAGCCUGCCUCUGCUUGCCACCGCUGCUGCUGCUGCUUGCCAUUGCAGCAUUGCUCCCUGCCGCGUAUUUUCCAAUUGAAGAGCAGAAAAUAUUCAAUUGGAGAGCAGAAAAUAUCUUGAGUGAUGCUUUAUUGAAUCUUUGCUACGCUCUGAACCUUCCAACAAGUCAUGGUUACAAUGGAGGAACCCCCGUCGCAUUGAGCGAGAUGGAAUUCGAAGAAACAAUUGAGUGCUGCCAACAAUUUAAAAAACAUCAAACGGAAGCAAACAUCUGCGGCUCCCCAACAUCCAAUUGUCAUAUUCCCCACCGCGUGAUGCAGUCAUCACCUGGCGAUCGCAUCCGCGUGGUUAUCCUGGGAUCUCCAGCUUGUGCUCCGGCUCCUCGGACCACGGGUGAAAACCGAGCUCCACUCCGACCUCAAGGAUGGACAACUGGGAGGGGAGCUCCCUCUCGUCGGGGCCCUCCUGCCACCUGCGAACCUCCUAACAACAAAGCCUCCACCAGGGAGCCACCAAAUCGUCAACCCAACCGUCGUCUCCUCCUCACUACCAGCCUCAGCCCCGGUGUUGCUGCCCUGGUCGUCGGUGGCACCGAGGUCACUGACCGGAGCAGGCCGCACCACAUCUGGCAUCUCCCUAGCCUAGUCGCCCAGCUCGAAGGCCUCCUUGCAGACGACGCAGUGGGAGUCGGUGCCGACGUGGCAAGGGCACGCGGCGACGACGACGGUGGGCAUGGGCUCGACGGCGCCAAAGCCGCCGGCCUCGAUCUGGGCGAGCUGCUUGAGGAACCGCUCGAAUCCGGACCCCAUGAGGAAGUCAAACAUGGUCUCGGGCAGCGGGCGGAAGCCGGAUCCGGCGCCGUCGUCGUAGAAGAGCUCGAAGCUGCUGGUGGCGCCGGGGGCCUCGUCGCAGGGUCACCCGAGGCGCCACGCCGGCUGCGGCGGGGCACGACCUCGUUGACCACGUGGGGGCGGAGGGCGCGACGGCCCGGCGCGGCCAUCUUCUCCAGGAAGCCGCCGUCACAGCCGGGGUGGCAGGGAAGCUCGGCAUGGAGCUCGUCGCCCCCGUCCAUGCAUCUCAACUUCUGGUCCAGGCAGCAUGUGGAGACAUUUUGUUGCUGUUUCCUGGAGCCGUCAGACGAUGGUGAGUGCUAUGGAUGUCAACAUGGGAAGGCGAAGGCUCGGCAUCCAACUAGAGGUGACUAUGAGAGAGGAACACCUGAUCAUGUUUGGCUUUCCGAUGGUGACUGUGAAAUUAGUGAUGAUGAUAUGGUGGACUUCUAA